GACGAACGCUGGCGGCGUGCCUAAUACAUGCAAGUAGAACGCUGAAGGAGGAGCUUGCUUCUCUGGAUGAGUUGCGAACGGGUGAGUAACGCGUAGGUAACCUGCCUGGUAGCGGGGGAUAACUAUUGGAAACGAUAGCUAAUACCGCAUAAUAGUAGAUGUUGCAUGACAUUUGCUUAAAAGGUGCAAUUGCAUCACUACCAGAUGGACCUGCGUUGUAUUAGCUAGUUGGUGGGGUAACGGCUCACCAAGGCGACGAUACAUAGCUGACCUGAGAGGGUGAUCGGCCACACUGGGACUGAGACACGGCCCAGACUCCUACGGGAGGCAGCAGUAGGGAAUCUUCGGCAAUGGACGGAAGUCUGACCGAGCAACGCCGCGUGAGUGAAGAAGGUUUUCGGAUCGUAAAGCUCUGUUGUAAGAGAAGAACGAGUGUGAGAGUGGAAAGUUCACACUGUGACGGUAUCUUACCAGAAAGGGACGGCUAACUACGUGCCAGCAGCCGCGGUAAUACGUAGGUCCCGAGCGUUGUCCGGAUUUAUUGGGCGUAAAGCGAGCGCAGGCGGUUAGAUAAGUCUGAAGUUAAAGGCUGUGGCUUAACCAUAGUACGCUUUGGAAACUGUUUAACUUGAGUGCAAGAGGGGAGAGUGGAAUUCCAUGUGUAGCGGUGAAAUGCGUAGAUAUAUGGAGGAACACCGGUGGCGAAAGCGGCUCUCUGGCUUGUAACUGACGCUGAGGCUCGAAAGCGUGGGGAGCAAACAGG
rnacentral:rRNA from 1 species